AUUGGUCAAUGGGCGCAAGCCUGAACCAGCCAUCCCGCGUGCAGGAAGACGGCGCUAUGCGUUGUAAACUGCUUUUCCAGGGAGAGAAACUUGCGCACGUGUUGCGCAAUUGACGGUACCCUGGGAAUAAGCAUCGGCUAACUCCGUGCCAGCAGCCGCGGUAAUACGGAGGAUGCGAGCGUUAUCCGGAUUCAUUGGGUUUAAAGGGUGCGUAGGCGGACUAUUAAGUCAGUGGUGAAAUCCUGCAGCUUAACUGCAGAACUGCCAUUGAUACUGAUAGCCUUGAGUUUGGUUAAGGUAGGCGGAAUGUGUAAUGUAGCGGUGAAAUGCUUAGAUAUUACACAGAACACCAAUUGCGUAGGCAGCUUACUGAGCCGACACUGACGCUGAGGCACGAAAGCGUGGGGAUCGAACAGGAUUAGAUACCCUGGUAGUCCACGCCGUAAACGAUGAUUACUCGCUGUUGGCGAUACACUGUCAGCGGCUAAGCAAAAGCAAUAAGUAAUCCACCUGGGGAGUACGGCCGCAAGGUUGAAACUCAAAUGAAUUGACGGAGA
rnacentral:rRNA from 1 species